rnacentral:tRNA from 7 species
UGCGGGGUGGAGCAGUCUGGUAGCUCGUCGGGCUCAUAACCCGAAGGUCACAGGUUCAAAUCCUGUCCCCGCGACCA